rnacentral:rRNA from 1 species
UACGAAGGGGCUAGCGUUGUUCGGAUUUACUGGGCGUAAAGCGCACGUAGGCGGAUCUUUAAGUCAGAGGUGAAAUCCCGGAGCUCAACUUCGGAACUGCCUUUGAUACUGGGGAUCUUGAGUUCGGGAGAGGUGAGUGGAACUGCGAGUGUAGAGGUGAAAUUCGUAGAUAUUCGCAAGAACACCAGUGGCGAAGGCGGCUCACUGGCCCGAUACUGACGCUGAGGCACGAAAGCGUGGGGAGCAAACAGG